ACCAUCAGGACUGAGAGCAGCAUUUCUAUUCAUCAGAACAUACACCAGCAGAAAGGAAAGAAGCAUUUGCAUUUGAUCUUUCAUCGGGAAGAAGACCAUUGUGAUGCACACCAAGCAUAUUAAAAUUAUUGUAAAUCAUCUGAUGGACCAAACUCCAGAAAUUCAGGCCAAUCCAGUCAUCAGAUAGCCACCCCUGUAUCAAAAGAAUGGACAAAAGAAAAA